rnacentral:rRNA from 1 species
UGGGGAAUUUUGGACAAUGGGCGAAAGCCUGAUCCAGCAAUGCCGCGUGAGUGAAGAAGGCCUUCGGGUUGUAAACUGCUUUUGUACGGAACGAAAAAGCUUCUCCUAAUACGAGAGGCCCAUGACAGUACCGUAAGAAUAAGCACCGGCUAACUACGUGCCAGCAGCCGCGGUAAUACGUAGGGUGCGAGCGUUAAUCGGAAUUACUGGGCGUAAAGCGUGCGCAGGCGGUUAUGUAAGACAGAUGUGAAAUCCCCGGGCUCGACCUGGGAACUGCAUUUGUGAAUGCAUGGCUAGAGUACGGUAGAGGGGGAUGGAAUUCCGCGUGUAGCAGUGAAAUGCGUAGAUAUGCGGAGGAACACCGAUGGCGAAGGCAAUCCCCUGGACCUGUACUGACGCUCAUGCACGAAAGCGUGGGGAGCAAACA